rnacentral:rRNA from 1 species
GUGGGGAAUUUUGGACAAUGGGCGAAAGCCUGAUCCAGCCAUGCCGCGUGCAGGAUGAAGGCCUUCGGGUUGUAAACUGCUUUUGUACGGAACGAAAAGACUCCUUCUAAUAAAGGGGGUCCAUGACGGUACCGUAAGAAUAAGCACCGGCUAACUACGUGCCAGCAGCCGCGGUAAUACGUAGGGUGCAAGCGUUAAUCGGUAUUACUGGGCGUAAAGCGUGCGCAGGCGGUUAUAUAAGACAGAUGUGAAAUCACCGGGCUCAACCUGGGAACUGCAUUUGUGACUGUAUAGCUAGAGUACGGUAGAGGGGGAUGGAAUUCCGCGUGUAGCAGUGAAAUGCGUAGAUAUGCGGAGGAACACCGAUGGCGAAGGCAAUCCCCUGGACCUGUACUGACGCACAUGCACGAAAGCGUGGGGAGCAAACAGGAUUAGAUACCCGGGUAGUCC